CUGGCUUCCUAUAAGGGCCUCGGUACUUCCGGAAGAGUGCAAGAGGCCGAGCUACACCUAGUAGCCCAGAAAGUUUCCAGAGGCCACGACUUUUGGAAAGUGGGGGACAGUCACGACGCCUCGUUGACCAGGGCGCCACAGAAGCGGGAAGAGAGCUGCAGGCGUGUCCCACUGCGCAGGCGCCUUUCCACGCCAGGGCCCGCUCUGACCACCGGAUAUCCGGUCCGAGCGCGGCAGGAUGGCGUUGGCUCCUGGCGCGGCCGGCGGGAUCCCCUUUGUUCUGGCCUCGCGUGUUGCUCUUCGGAGAUUCCAUCACUCAGUUUUCUUUCCAGCAGGGUGGCUGGGAGCGGGCGCUGGCUGACAGACUGGUCAGGACCAGGACGAACCUGUCACCACUUCCCAGGUGCCGGGACUGACGCCACAGCCGGGCCCCUUAGGUGAGCCAAGACGCGGCCAAGGUCUGAGGUCACCAGCUCCUCAGUCCCCUCAGUCCCCUCAGUCCCACACGACCCUGGUGUGGUGGCCUCACUGUCUUCCUGUGAGUUUGGGAACGCGGAAUGAAGUGUGGGAUCGCAGCCCAGUGACACUCGGAAGUGUCACCUCACAUGGUCUUGCUGGGCGUAGUGGUGCAUGCCUGUCAUCCCUGCUGUUCCACAGAAAGGCCCGCGGCUUCUGUGGGGCCAAACCUGUGGCUUCCCUGCUACACAACUGCCCGAGAAGCAGCUCCAACUUGGAUGCAUGUGUGGAUGCUGGGGACGAGAGCACAUACUGUACUAAGUUGCAUCCGGCCCUGGCAUUCUUGAGGACAGGUCUCAAAGUUGUUGUGCAUAGCCAGGCUGGCCUUGGACUCUGGAUCCUCCUGCUUCAGCCUCCCAGAGAGCUGAGAUUAUAGAGCAUAUGGUCCCCCCCCCCCAAACUACUUAAAAAGGAAAGUUCUGGGCAUGGUGCUACACGCCUGUCAUCCUAGUAUGUGGGAGGCUGAAGCAAGAGGGUCCAGAGUUCGAGAGCCAGUCUGGGCUACAUAGUUCAAGGCCGAUCUGGCUCCAUCUCAAGAGUCUGUUUCAUAAAUAAAUAUCUGAUAAGGAAUCAGUGUAAACUGAAAUACAGCGUAUGAAUCUCAUUAAAGGUCUGUAUAGUUCAGGAACUAACUGCGUAGUCCAGGCUGGCCUCGAAUUCCAGAUGAUCCCGUGCCUCAGCCUCCUGAGUGACAUCGCGCCACCCUGUCUAGUGAGUCUCAGCUUCUUAGUGAUUUUCUAGCUACCGUGCUUGCUCAGAUCCACGUCCACCCAUUGCAGGCUAACGGUUGUGAAAGCGCCCCCUCCUCUGGGAAAGUGGCCUGCAGAAGUCGGCAGCACGGGAGUACUCCUCCCUCCCCAAAGGCGGCCACGCGGGAAGCGGCUCUGCUCACGGCUCAUCUUGUCACAAUUUCUCAUUUCAGAAAAUGACGAUGUUCUGAAUCGUGGAUUUUCCGGUUGUAACACCCGCUGGGCCAAAAUCAUCCUUCCGAGAUUGGUGGGGAGCAGGGACAGCCCUGCAGUGGUGACCAUUUUCUUUGAGCGCCAAUGACAGCUCUCUGAGAGUGCCGCCCGUGACACCCUGUGUCCCCGCAGACGAGAACCCCAGGCAGCACGUCCCCCUGGAGGAGUACACGGCCAACCUGAGCGCCAUGGUGCGGUACCUGCACUCCGUGGGCGUCACCGGGCCGUGUCGUCCUGGUCACGCCACCCCCACUGUGGGAGGCCGCCUGGGAGGGAGGAGUGCGUGGCGCAGGGGCCGGACGGCGCAGUGGGGCCUGGUGGGGCCCUGGGGAGACAGGAUGGGGAGCUGCUGUGGGCCCUGCUGCUUUGUCUGCGUUCGAGCGGAAGUGGAGACACCGCUCCCUUACACCGUACUGAGACAGGAUUCCCAGCACUCGGGAGGCUGAGGCCAGUCUCAGAAAACAAGGGGAUUUGUUCUGGCUUUGGCCAAGACUGGACCCCUAACCUGGCAUCUGCUGACCUGUAUAGCUGCCAGGCUCCAAGAGGCCAGCGACACCCCCGAACUGGGCGGGAGGGGGCACCAGCUGGCCCAGGAGGUCACAUGGGGCUGAUUUCCACCCUCACCUGCAUCUCUGCUGCCCCGCUGGUCCUGGCAUCUGGAGGCAUGUGCAGGACAGGGCUCUGGAUGAGGGCCACCUUCAUGGCCAGCCAUGUUUCUCACCCCGCCACGCGCAGCUGGGCCACCUCACCCCCACCCGAGGUGUGCCGCUGAUGCCACAGCCUGCUCAGGCUUGGUGGCUGGCCUCCUUCCUGUGCGGAAGCUCGCUCCGUGCUCCACUCCCCAGAGUUGAGUCUGUCGCCCUUGCUUGCAGUUGGGUGGGUGCUGUCGUCCUGUGGAGCCUGAAGUCUCCGUCCCACAGCUGUGAGGGCGACAGUUCCCGGGAUCACGAGGUCUCCAUCCCGCCUGGCUGGCCAUGCACCAGCACCCCGGGCGCUUCCCUGCUCCCAUGCCCUGCCUGGUCACCGCGGCUGCUCGUUGCUGCCUGCCUGCACCUUGGUCCUGUGGCCUCUGCUGACUGCACAGAGCUGUGCCCACCCCUGGCCUGUGACACCCAUGGCCAGGGCCCGCAGUCCAGCACUGCCAUCUGCUGUUGUGCCUGCAG
ensembl:lncRNA